rnacentral:rRNA from 1 species
AGCGAACGCUGGCGGCAGGCCUAACACAUGCAAGUCGAGCGCUCGUAGCAAUACGAGAGCGGCAGACGGGAGAGUAACACGUGGGAACGUACCCUUUGGUUCGGAACAACCCAGGGAAACUUGGGCUAAUACCGGAUAAGCCCUUACGGGGAAAGAUUUAUCGCCGAAGGAUCGGCCCGCGUCUGAUUAGCUAGUUGGUGGGGUAACGGCCCACCAAGGCGACGAUCAGUAGCUGGUCUGAGAGGAUGAUCAGCCUCACUGGGACUGAGACACGGCCCAGACUCCUACGGGAGGCAGCAGUGGGGAAUAUUGGACAAUGGGCGCAAGCCUGAUCCAGCCAUGCCGCGUGGGUGAUGAAGGCCCUAGGGUUGUAAAGCCCUUUCGGCGGGAAGAUAAUGACGGUACCCGCAGAAGAAGCCCCGGCUAACUUCGUGCCAGCAGCCGCCGUAAC